AACGAACGCUGGCGGCAGGCUUAACACAUGCAAGUCGAGCGAGACCUUCGGGUCUAGCGGCGGACGGGUGAGUAACGCGUGGGAACGUGCCCUUCUCCACGGAAUAGCCCCGGGAAACUGGGAGUAAUACCGUAUACGCCCUUUGGGGGAAAGAUUUAUCGGAGAAGGAUCGGCCCGCGUUGGAUUAGGUAGUUGGUGGGGUAAUGGCCCACCAAGCCGACGAUCCAUAGCUGGUUUGAGAGGAUGAUCAGCCACACUGGGACUGAGACACGGCCCAGACUCCUACGGGAGGCAGCAGUGGGGAAUCUUAGACAAUGGGGGCAACCCUGAUCUAGCCAUGCCGCGUGAGUGAUGAAGGCCUUAGGGUUGUAAAGCUCUUUCAGCUGGGAAGAUAAUGACGGUACCAGCAGAAGAAGCCCCGGCUAACUCCGUG
rnacentral:rRNA from 1 species